rnacentral:rRNA from 1 species
GAACGGCAGCGUACACAUGCAAGUCGAGCGGUAGCAGGGGGUGCUUGCACCCCGCUGACGAGCGGCGGACGGGUGAGUAAUGCAUAGGAAUCUGCCCAGUAGUGGGGGAUAGCCCGGGGAAACCCGGAUUAAUACCGCAUACGCCCUUCGGGGGAAAGCAGGGGAUCUUCGGACCUUGCGCUAUUGGAUGAGCCUAUGUCGGAUUAGCUAGUUGGUGGGGUAAAGGCUCACCAAGGCGACGAUCCGUAGCUGGUCUGAGAGGAUGAUCAGCCACAUCGGGACUGAGACACGGCCCGAACUCCUACGGGAGGCAGCAGUGGGGAAUAUUGGACAAUGGGGGCAACCCUGAUCCAGCCAUGCCGCGUGUGUGAAGAAGGCUUUCGGGUUGUAAAGCACUUUCAGUGAGGAGGAAAACCUUAUGGUUAAUACCCAUGAGGCUUGACGUUACUCACAGAAGAAGCACCGGCUAACUCCGUGCCAGCAGCCGCGGUAAUACGGAGGGUGCAAGCGUUAAUCGGAAUUACUGGGCGUAAAGCGCGCGUAGGUGGUUUGAUAAGCGAGAUGUGAAAGCCCCGGGCUUAACCUGGGAACGGCAUUUCGAACUGUC